rnacentral:rRNA from 1 species
AGAGUUUGAUUAUGGCUCAGAACGAACGCUGGCGGCAUGCCUCAUACAUGCAAGUCGAACGGGGUCUUCGGACCUAGUGGCGCACGGGUGAGUAACAUGUGGGAAUCUACCUAAAGGUUCGGAAUAACUGCGGGAAACUGUAGCUAAUACCGGAUGUGUCUGCAAAGAGAAAGAUUUAUCGCCUUUAGAUGAGCCCGCACUAGAUUAGCUAGUUGGUGAGGUAAUUGCUCCACCAAGGCUACGAUCUAUAGCUGAUUUGAGAGGAUGAUCAGCCACACUGGGACUGAGACACGGCCCAGACUCCUACGGGAGGCAGCAGUAGGGAAUAUUGGACAAUGGGGGAAACCCUGAUCCAGCAAUGCCGCGUGAGUGAAGAAGGCCUUAGGGUUGUAAAACUCUUUCAUCAAUGAUGAUAAUGACAUUAAUUGAAGAAGAAGCUCCGGCUAACUUCGUGCCAGCAGCCGCGGUAAUACGAAGGGGGCUAGCGUUGUUCGGAAUCACUGGGCGUAAAGCGUAUGUAGGCGGAUCAAAAAGUUAGAUGUGAAAUCCCUGGGCUCAACCCAGGAACUGCAUUUAAAACUAGUGAUCUAGAAAUUGGUAAAGGUUAGUAGAAUUUCCAGUGUAGAGGUGAAAUUCGUAGAUAUUGGAAAGAAUACCAGAAGCGAAGGCGACUAACUAGGCCAUUUUUGACGCUGAGAUACGAAAGCGUGGGUAGCAAACAGGAUUAGAUACCCUGGUAGUCCACGCAGUAAACGAUGAGUGCUAGUCGCUGGGACAUUAGUUUCAGUGUCGAAGCUAACGCAUUAAGCACUCCGCCUGGGAAGUACGGUCGCAAGAUUAAAAC